rnacentral:rRNA from 1 species
GACGAACGCUGGCGGCGUGCUUAACACAUGCAAGUCGAGCGGUAAGGCCCUUUCGGGGGUACACGAGCGGCGAACGGGUGAGUAACACGUGGGUGACCUGCCCUCAGCUCUGGGAUAAGCCUGGGAACCGGGUACUAAUACUGGAUAUGACUCCAUGACGCAUGUUGUGGGGUGGAAAGCCUUGUGCGGCUGAGGAUGGGCCCGCGGCCUAUCAGCUUGUUGGUGGGGNGAUGGCCUACCAAGGCGACGACGGGUAGCCGGCCUGAGAGGGCGGACCGGCCACACUGGGACUGAGACACGGCCCAGACUCCUACGGGAGGGCAGCAGUGGGGGAAUCUUGCGCAAUGGGCGAAAGCCUGACGCAGCGACGCCGCGU